UACGUAGGGGGGCAAGCGUUGUCCGGAUUUAUUGGGCGUAAAGAGCGUGUAGGCGGCUAUACAGGUCCGUUGUGAAAACUCGAGGCUCAACCUCGAGACGCCGAUGGAAACCGUAUGGCUAGAGUCCGGAAGAGGAGAGCGGAAUUCCUGGUGUAGCGGUGAAAUGCGCAGAUAUCAGGAAGAACACCCGUGGCGAAGGCGGCUCUCUGGGACGGUACUGACGCUGAGACGCGAAAGCGUGGGGAGCGAACAGG
rnacentral:rRNA from 1 species